AUUGGAGGGCAAGUCUGGUGCCAGCAGCCGCGGUAAUUCCAGCUCCAAUAGCGUAUAUUAAAGUUGUUGCGGUUAAAAAGCUCGUAGUUGGAGUCAGUUGCGGACUGGGGUGGGAGGUCACCGCCCGGUGCUUCCCCUCUAGGCUCCGAACAGCUUCCGUGAGUGGAAGCCAAGCCGGCUUAGCCGGGGUGCUCUUUACCGAGUGUCCCGCGCAACCGGCCAGUUCACCUUGAAUAAAUGAGAGUGCUCAAAGCAGGCUACUCUGGAAUACAAUGCCCGAAUGUUACCUGCAUGGAAUGAUGGAAGAUGAUCUCGGUUGCAUUUUGUUGGUGGUGGCAGCCCGAGGUAAUGAUAAAGAGGGACUGUCGGGGGCAUCCGUACUACGACGCGAGAGGUGAAAUUCAGUGACCGUCGUAGGACGAACAACAGCGAAAGCAUUUGCCAAGAAUGUCUUCGUUGAUCAAGAACGAAAGUUAGAGGAUCGAAGGCGAUCAGAUACCGCCCUAGUUCUAACCCUAAACGAUGCUGACUAGCAAUUCGCCGUCGUUAUUCCCAUGACGUGGCGAGACGCCCCCGGGAAACCUCAAGUCUUUGAGUUCCGGGGGUAGUAUGGUUGCAAAAGUGAAACUUAAAGGAAUUGACGGAAGGGCACCACCAGGAGUGGAGCCUGCGGCUUAAUUUGACUCAACACGGGAAACCUUACCAGGCCCGGACACCAGAAGGAUUGACUCCUGA
rnacentral:rRNA from 1 species